rnacentral:rRNA from 1 species
UACGUAGGGUGCGAGCGUUAAUCGGAAUUACUGGGCGUAAAGCGUGCGCAGGCGGUUGUGCAAGACAGAUGUGAAAUCCCCGGGCUUAACCUGGGAAUUGCAUUGUGACUGCACGGCUAGAGUGUGUCAGAGGGGGUAGAAUUCCACGUGUGAGCAGUGAAAUGCGUAGAUAUGUGGAGGAAUACCGAUGGCGAAGGCAGCCCCCUGGGAUAACACUGACGCUCAUGCACGAAGCGUGGGGAGCAAACAGGA